AUUUCACUGCAGGUGGAGGGAAUGCUGGGGGGGGCAACCAGGAAUUCUGCCCCCUCCCCCCAGGCCCCGGGGAACAAACUGGGUCCCCAGAGGAGAAUCAGGGGCUCCCUCACAGGUUCCAGGAGAGUCCAGGGCUCCCCAUGAUCCAAACAGUCCAGAGAAGCUAGGGGCAUGCCUGUGCCACCAGCCCCUUGGGAAGUUGAGGCAGGAGGGUCCCAUUUUUCAAGCCCAGCCUGGAGUAGUUUAGCAAGACCCUCUCUCAAAAUAAAACAAAGCUGGGGAUGUAGCUCAGCGUGAAGGCCCUGCGUUUCUUCCCCAGUACUUACUGCAAAGACAAAUGUGUCAAGGGAGAGAGGAUUUAUACACAGGGUCCUGACAGUGCAGAUACUUUAUAGGAUUAAUCGCCAGGCCCAACAGAGCCAUAGCGAGAGAGGGACUUGUGCAAACUGUGGACCAGGGGGAUAAGCGACUUUUUUUUUUUUUUUGGAAAUCUCAACUAGACCUAUAGCAUGGAGCCUGACUAGUGAGAGACAAGAGUAACUGGCUGCGCCUUGAUCAUACCAUACCUGAUCUCCUAUUCCUUGCCAUUGUAUGAACUGUAUAGUGUGAUGCAUUGAGUUGCGUGUCAGUGGCAAAAUGACCACUCCAGGAAGAGGUGACACAUGCCCACUGGGGUCACCUGGUCUUUGUGUGUUGAUCAGACCUAAUCUUGGCAGAUCUCUGCCCUUCAUAUGUCUGACUACUCACUCCCUAGUCCAGCCCUGGCCCUGGAGGUGGAGCCCCGGACCUGUUGCCUGGUAGACAGGCACUCUGCCACUGUGCUACACCCCUGAUCCCUGAUCCCAUUUUGUUUGAUUUUGAGACAGGCUCUCACCGCAUGCCUUGCGUUGGAUUUGAGCUUUUGAUCCUCCUGCCUCAGCCUUCAAAGUAGCUCGAAUGACAGGUGCCCACACCCCAGGUGCCCUGGUGGGAAGAGGUGAGAGGAGCAGGGAAGGCGACAGAGACCGAGGACGGCGCUGACCCCAUUCGUGCAGCCGCAGGGUGAUCUCAGGCGACCUCUCUGUCCAGUUGGCGGCCCGGGACUCCACCCAGAGCAUGACGCUGCGGAGCACCGGCACCCCAUCCUGGUCCGAGAACCGCAGCCGGGUGGCCGAGCCCGCCCAGAAGUAGCAGCAGGGCCCGGGGCGGAGGCUGCGGGGAGGGAGCACCCUGAGCUGGGCCAGGCCGGGCCUCCCCUCCACCCGCCCGUUGGGGUUUGCUCCUGUGGUGCUGGGAGUGAACCCCGGGGCUCCUCACUGGGCUCCAGCUUCACCCUUUUUUGUUAUUUUUAUUUCUAGGCAGGAUCUUCCAAAUUGCUGAGUGGUUAAACAUGUGAUCCGCCUGCCUCAGCCUCCAAAAUAGUUGGGAUUACAGAAGUGUGUCUCUAACUCCA